rnacentral:tRNA from 1 species
GGUGGUUCAGUGGUAGAAUGCUUGCCUUGCAUGCAUGAGGCCCUGGGUUUGAUUCCUCAGUACCA